rnacentral:lncRNA from 1 species
AAAAACAUCAGGGUUCUGAAGGAUCCAGGGUUUGUCCUGCUCCAGUAUGUUUUCAUCUCAACUAAUUAUAUCUUUCAUGAUCCUAUUUCCAGAUAAAGUCACAUUCAGAAACACUGGGGUUUAGGACUUCAACAGAGAAUCUGAGGAGCAAGGGUGGAUGAAGAGGGAAAAAGCCAGAAUCACAGACACAGCUGGGUCUCUCCUGGAACGAAUUCCCACAGACAAACUCUUCACCAGACCAUCAACUCAGAAGGGCAAAACGAGGAGCUUAUUGUGAAGAGUUUGGGCCAAACCACCCAGAGCUUCCUGUGCCAGGAUAAUAUUUGCAUUGAAGCAGCAAGAGUGACUAUGAACUCAAAGCAUGAAUUCUUCCUGAAAACUUGGUAUCAGCUACUUGACUUAUAAAGAUGGAAGCACAAAUGGAAUCUCC